CUAGCGACAGGCCAACACAUGCAAGUCAGGGGCAGCACAAGGAGCAAUCUGAGGUGGCGACCGGCGCACGGGUGAGUAACACGUAUGCAACCUGCCUGUAAGCGGGGAAUAACCCGUUGAAAGACGGACUAAUACCGCAUAAUACUAAAUUACUGCAUGGUAAUUUAUUCAAACAUUUAUGGCUUACAGAUGGGCAUGCGCAUGAUUAGCUAGUUGGAGAGGUAACGGCUCCCCAAGGCAACGAUCAUUAGGGGUUCUGAGAGGAAGGUCCCCCCACACUGGUACUGAGACACGGACCAGACUCCUACGGGAGGCAGCAGUGAGGAAUAUUGGUCAAUGGACGAGAGUCUGAACCAGCCAAGUCGCGUGCAGGAAGAAUGUCCCUAUGGAUUGUAAACUGCUUUUGCAGGGGAAUAAAGUGCAUCACGUGUGAUGUUUUGUAUGUACUCUGCGAAUAAGGAUCGGCUAACUCCGUGCCAGCCGCCGC
rnacentral:rRNA from 1 species